rnacentral:rRNA from 1 species
GACGAACCGUACGAACGUUAUUCGGAAUCACUGGGCUUAAAGGGCGCGCAGGCGGCUCGACAAGUCAGAUGUGAAAGCCCCGGGCUCAACCUGGGAACGGCAUUUGGGACUGUCGGGCUAGAGUUCGGGAGAGGUGGGUGGAAUUCCCAGUGUAGAGGUGAAAUUCGUAGAUAUUGGGAAGAACACCGGUGGCGAAGGCGGCUCACUGGACCGAGACUGACGCUGAGGCGCGAAAGCGUGGGGAGCAAACAGG